rnacentral:rRNA from 1 species
UACGUAGGGGGCAAGCGUUGUCCGGAAUCAUUGGGCGUAAAGAGCGCGUAGGCGGUCCGGUAAGUCCGCUCUGAAAGCCCCGGGCUCAACCCGGGAGGGUCGUGGCAAACCGGCGGGCUUGAGGCCGGUAGAGGUGGGUGGAACUCCUGGUGGAGUGGUGAAAUGCGUAGAGAUCAGGAAGAACACCCGUGGCGAAGGCGGCCCACUGGGCCGGUACUGACGCUGAGGCGCGAAGGCGUGGGGAGCGAACGGG